rnacentral:rRNA from 1 species
UUUGCUGACGAGCGGCGGACGGGUGAGUAAUGCUUGGGAACAUGCCUUGAGGUGGGGGACAACAGUUGGAAACGACUGCUAAUACCGCAUAAUGUCUACGGACCAAAGGGGGCUUCGGCUCUCGCCUUUAGAUUGGCCCAAGUGGGAUUAGCUAGUUGGUGAGGUAAUGGCUCACCAAGGCAACGAUCCCUAGCUGGUUUGAGAGGAUGAUCACCCACACUGGGACUGAGACACGGCCCACACUCCUACGGGAGGCAGCAGUGGGGAAUAUUGCACAAUGGGCGCAAGCCUGAUGCACCCAUGCCGCGUGUGUGAAGAAGGCCUUCGGGUUGUAAAGCACUUUCAGUCAAGAGGAAAGGUUAGUAGUUAAUACCUGCUAGCUGUGACGUUACUGACAGAAGAAGCACCGGCUAACUCCGUGCCAGCAGCCGCGGUAAUACAGAGGGUGCGAGCGUUAAUCGGAAUUACUGGGCGUAAAGCGUACGCAGGCGGUUUGUUAAGCGAGAUGUGAAAGCCCCGGGCUCAACCUGGGAACUGCAUUUCGAACUGGCAAACUAGAGUGUGAUAGAGGGUGGUAGAAUUUCAUGUGUAGCGGUGAA